rnacentral:rRNA from 1 species
AACGAACGUUAGCGGCGCGCUUAACACAUGCAAGUCGAGCGAGAAAGGGGCAACCCCGGUAAAGCGGCGCACGGGUGAGUAACACGUAGGUAAUCUACCCCCAGGUGGUGGAUAACUUUCCGAAAGGAAAGCUAAUACAGCAUGGGACCACGACUCCGAAAGGAGUUGAGGUGAAAGUCGGCCUCUUCACGAAAGCCGACGCCAGGGGAUGAGUCUGCGGCCCAUCAGCUAGUUGGUAGGGUAAUGGCCUACCAAGGCGAAGACGGGUAGCUGGUCUGAGAGGAUGAUCAGCCACACUGGAACUGAGACACGGUCCAGACUCCUACGGGAGGCUG